GAUGAAGAACGUAGCGAAAUGCGAUAAGUAAUGUGAAUUGCAGAAUUCAGUGAAUCAUCGAAUCUUUGAACGCACAUUGCGCCCGCCAGCAUUCUGGCGGGCAUGCCUGUUCGAGCGUCAUUUCAACCCUCGAGCCCCCCCGGGGGCCUCGGUGUUGGGGGACGGCACACCAGCCGCCCCCGAAAUGCAGUGGCGACCCCGCCGCAGCCUCCCCUGCGUAGUAGCACACGCCUCGCACCGGAGCGCGGAGGCGGUCACGCCGUAAAACGCCCAACUUUCUUAGAGUUGACCUCGGAUCAGGUAGGAAUACCCGCUGAACUUAAGCAUAUCAAUAAGCGGAGGA
rnacentral:misc_RNA from 1 species